UUGUUACUUUGGCAGAUUAGUGCAUUAAAUUUAGAAUUUAAGUAUGUAUAUUUAUACAAGUAAUAC
rnacentral:tRNA from 1 species